rnacentral:lncRNA from 1 species
AAUUUAGGAAAUCAUUGGCCUCAAUAUCACCCUGAAUGACUGUCAUCUUUCCUCCCUGGGAGUGCAUUGACAGGAAUAAUGAUGCACAGGUAAAAGAGCUGCCUUUAUCCAUUCUGUGAGGCCUCUGAACAACAAGUACACCAAAUCCAAUUGAUGCCUGCAUUCUGUUGGCCUCUCACUUCAAAUCCAUGUUCAGCCUUUUUAGAAGGCUGCGAAAGAAUGCAGGGGUGUUCCGGUAUGUGCCUGGGAUUUGUUGGGAAAGGGUAAGGAGUAUUGUGUUAAGACAGAAAAGGAACAUUUAUUGCUGCCAUAAUCAGAGGAGUUGUGCUAUUGUGGGCUGAAUUCAGAGAUAGUUUUUUUUUUUUUUUUUUAAAAAAAAAAAAAAAAAGAGAGAGAAAGAAAGAAAACUGUGUUGCAUUGAGUCAACUUUUUUUUUUUUUGUGCACAGCUGAAACAAUUUUACACCUCCCCACAGUUUGACUGACUGCACUUUAGAAACAUGUCUGAUUUCCCGUCACUGUUAGAAACAAAACACAAAAGGUGCAGAAUUAGACUUCAUAAUCUAAAAUAUCUGUCAUUUCAUUGCUGAGUUUUCUUGCUUAGUCUUUG